rnacentral:rRNA from 1 species
UGGGGAAUAUUGCACAAUGGGCGCAAGCCUGAUGCAGCCAUGCCGCGUGUAUGAAGAAGGCCUUCGGGUUGUAAAGUACUUUCAGUCGGGAGGAAGGUGGUAAGGUUAAUAACCUUAUCAAUUGACGUUACCGACAGAAGAAGCACCGGCUAACUCCGUGCCAGCAGCCGCGGUAAUACGGAGGGUGCAAGCGUUAAUCGGAAUUACUGGGCGUAAAGCGCACGCAGGCGGUUGAUUGAGUCAGAUGUGAAAUCCCCGGGCUUGACCCGGGAAUUGCAUCUGAUACUGGUCAGCUAGAGUCUUGUAGAGGGGGGUAGAAUUCCAUGUGUAGCGGUGAAAUGCGUAGAGAUGUGGAGGAAUACCGGUGGCGAAGGCGGCCCCCUGGACGAAGACUGACGCUCAGGUGCGAAAGCGUGGGGAGCAAACAGG